rnacentral:rRNA from 1 species
AGAGUUUGAUCCUGGCUCAGAAUGAACGCUGGCGGCAGGCCUAACACAUGCAAGUCGAACGGGUCCUUCGGGGACUAGUGGCGGACGGGUGAGUAACGCGUGGGAACGUGCCCCUUGGUACGGAAUAGCCCUGGGAAACUGGGAGUAAUACCGUAUGUGGUCGAGAGACGAAAGAUUUAUCGCCAAGGGAUCGGCCCGCGUUGGAUUAGGUAGUUGGUGGGGUAAUGGCCUACCAAGCCGACGAUCCAUAGCUGGUUUGAGAGGAUGAUCAGCCACACUGGGACUGAGACACGGCCCAGACUCCUACGGGAGGCAGCAGUGGGGAAUCUUAGACAAUGGGGAAACCCUGAUCUAGCCAUGCCGCGUGAUCGAUGAAGGCCUUAGGGUUGUAAAGAUCUUUCAGGUGAGAAGAUAAUGACUGUACCACCAGAAGAAGCCCCGGCUAACUCCGUG